rnacentral:lncRNA from 10 species
UGAGGAUGGCAUGGUGCACUGAGACGGACACGUCAAUCACUUUGUGGUUUCCUUUCCAAUAAUGCAUAACGCUAGUCUAACCGUGAGAACGCACCAAACAAGCCCACAUGGAGGGACAUUCUACAAAAUGACUGAUCAUUACUCUUCAAAAGUGGCAAGGCCCUGAAAUCAAAGAAAGACUGAGGAGCUGUGAUAGAUUGAAGGAGGCUAAGAAGAUGUGAAAACUAAAUGCAACAUGGAGUCCUGGAUUGGGUCUUGGAAUAGAAAAAGGACAUUAGUGGAAAAACUGGUGAUGUGAGUUCUAUUUUUCUCAGCCUAUUCCGGGAUCUGGACACAUGAGAGAACAAAACAUAUGACAUCAACUAAAACAUCACUCGAUUUUCACACCAGUUUUUAUACAAGUUGAUGUCUUUUGAUAACCCUUUAGGAUGAAAAGUGCUGACCUGUGUCCCGUCUUCGGACUUUAUGUCAAAAUGUAGUAGCUGGGUGCGUUGGCUCACCCUUGUAAUCCCAGCACUUUGGGAGGCCAAGAUGGUUGGAUCAUGAGGUCAGGAGUUCCAGACCAGCCUGGACAAGAUAGUGAAACCCCAUCUCUGCUAAAAAUACAAAAAUUAGCCGGGUGCAGUGGCGGGUGCCUGUAAUCCCAGCUACCCGGGAGGCUGAGGCAGGAGAAUUGCUUCAACCCAGGAGGCAGAGGUUGCAGUGAGCCGAGAUUGCGCCACUGCACUCCAGCCUGGGCAACAGAACAAGACUCCAACUCCCCCCCAAAAAAAAAAAAAAAAAAAAAAGUUAGUUAAAUGGAGCCAUUUCCCUCCCUGGCUGUUUUAUUAAUAUAAUCCCUGGGUAACAGAUAAUUGUUGGUAUAUCUCUGCCUUAGGUUGUUACCAUUCUUGUACAAGUUGGACUGAACCUAGCAAGGCUGCUAUCUCUGCGUCCCAAUUUAGUCAUUUGUUGCCACACAGUUUCUGUGUUUUCUUUCCUCUCCUGUUCCUUGCAAGUGGCACAGUGAGGCAUAAAAUUUUUCCUUUAGCCUAGAUAAUCUGGCGUAAUUUUCCUCAAUGCUUUCCCUUUCCACAAUGGGAGUCAGGUUUCCAUUUGAAACAGUUUACUUCUACAUAAUAAGCCUUCUCUCUCUCUCUAACUCUCUUAUUCUCUUUUUUUCAAUCCCAGAAAAUUUCAUUGCAGUUUAGAAUCUCAAUAAACAGGCUGCUGUUGCCAUAAACAAUCAGGGGAAAAAAAGUGGUGUUGGCAGAAAAUUUAGAUCAUAAUUUGUCUGACGGGACAAAACAGGCAUGCCCUCUGCUUUGUCUUUGUGUAUAUUUGGGGUUAUUAUCAGUGUUCUGGCUUCUAAAGCAUCUUUCUGUGUUAAAUACGGGGCUGGACCGUGGAAAAUCAAAAAACAAACUGGCAUUUGGAAGGGCAAUAACUUUCCUCGAAGAAAGGAGACAGCUACCGUUGGCCUAUUAUUUCAAACUUACUUCUGGUUCUCCACAUCUUCCAAGGUAACAAAUGAAGAUGGUCACCCACCUUCAGUCUCGCAGCAGCAAGAAAGCAACAGAAGCCUUCUCUCCAGGAAUUAGUAUAGGAAACCUGUUUGCUUUUAAAGUUCCGAGUCCUCCCAUAGAGAUGAAAGGGGAAUUAAAGUGAGUUACCCCUGAGGAAUCACCAAAGGAAAAACGGGUUGCUUUAUCUGGGCUCUUCAGAACUCUUUAAGACUUGAAGAUCUGGAUUGAAAUCCGUAUAAUACGUUCAUUCACUAAGUCAAGAUUAAUAGCGUUGGU